CGCCCGGGGGAGGAGACCAGCUGCAGGCGUCCUGGGAGCGCUGGGGACACGGAGCUGCUCAGGCCCGCUGAUCUCCUGGGGUCUGUGAGUUUGUCAGUCGAUCCCACUGUCUUUUCCAUCGGGGGUACCCCUGACCCCAGCAGAACGAUUUGGAAGAAAUUCCAUGAAAACUUGUGAUGUCGUCCCCUGCUGCUUCUAUUACUGAGCCCCCCCCCCCCCCUUGGAAGAGGCUUUUGCUCUUCAAAGCUAGAAAUAGACAGGUAUCCAAGGUGCUGAGGGAGUUGGCCGAUGUGAUUGCAGAGCCAUUUUGAAGCAGUUGGAGGAGAGGAAGGUGAUCAGGAACAGUCAACAUGGAUUCACCAAGAGCAAGUCAUGCCUGACCAACCUGAUUGCCUUCUAUAAUGAGAUAACUGGCACUGUGGAUGUGGGGAAAACGGUGAAUGUGAUAUAUCUUGACAUUAGCAAAGCAUUUGAUAUGGUCUUGCGCAGUAUUCUUGCCAACAAGUUAAAAAAGUAUGGAUUGGAUGAAUGGACUGUAAGAUGGAUAGAAAGCUGGCUAGAUUGUCAGGCUCAAUGGGAGUGAUCAGUGGCUGGAUGUCUACUUGGCAGCCAGUAUCAAGCGGAGUGCCCCAGGGGUUGUAGAGGUAGAAAUCCUAAAGCCAUCUUGGAUCCUCUAAAGGACAACUAGGCAUUGUGAGCCUUCUUGUUCCCUCCCCACUCCAAUUUGGCGCCUUUUCCAUGUUUAGGUGGGAAAGACAGUGGCUGUCAAUCAUCUAAUCUGCCUAGUAACCAAAAGUCUAUAUAAGGCAGUGUUUAGAUCAGAUCAGGGCUGCCCAUCUGCGUGGCAGAAUGCAGAACAGACAAGGGUAGGCCAUUUGCCCCACAUGGGCUACUUUAAGUAGGGAAUUAUUCAUUCACACACACCUAAUCCAUCUUUAGUAAGAUUCGCUUACUGCAUGCACGACGACGCAGGUAGAGGGAGGGGGAGUUCAACAACUUACCUGAAAGAAGCUCGUCUGGCCCUCCUUUAAAUCCUUCUUCCAUCCAGGGGAUCCAGUGGUCCUGGCGUGCUGUACCAACCUAAGGAGAAAAAGGACAUCAGUACUUCAAGCUGCUAAAGAUGUGUUUUGCAGUGAUCUUCCUUCAAGCAGUGAACAGGCCUCCCCCCUGGAGAUGCAUCCAUGAUGCUGCAUAAGUAGCCAGGGAGUUUGCAGCAGAGCAACACAAGUUGUAACUUCCCACGAAGUGAUGGAAAGUGCUGCCCAUUCAACUCCAGGAGUGAGAGAGUGAAUACGACUCUCUUGAGUAGCAGCAUACACUACCAGAAAUAUGCUUGUCCUUUAUCCAGCACAUCAACAGGACUGAGAAGACUGUUAAACACUAGCUACUAUUUUCCUACUUUCUCUUUUUGACAUUCAAGCAUGCUGGGUGGCAGUUGAUUGCUCUCUUCCAUUUCAGAAGUGGCUGCAUUUCAGUGAUGUCCUACAUUCCUGUAUCCUACUAGCCUUACUUGCAGAACUAGUCUCAUUGAGAAAAUGAACACUUGAAUGCCCAGAUACUAUACCGCUAAGUAGAACUGGACAAUUUUUUUUUAUUUUUGGUGAAUAGUAAACCAAAACAUUGCAAAUUUGACAUGAAAUUGCUGAAUAGUUUCAGCCAAAAUCUUUGUUUUCAGGAUUGAGAUACUAUUCACAAAAUGGCUGGAGGAUGAGACAGUGGUAGUGCCUGCCUUGUAAAGUGUAGCUCUGCGCUCUCACCUAAGAUACGGAAUAGGAGUCAGGUUCAAUUGCCUCCUCUAUCUGAUCUGAAGAAGGGAUUUAAACUAGGAGCUCACAUACAGCAGAAAAGUUCCCUUACUCCUGAGACUAUUGAAUAGUCUGGAGUGGGUCUUUCUCAGUCUCUACUGUUGAAGUGGUUCCACUUUGUAUAACUAAUUAGUCAUUGGAGGUUGGGACAAAGAGAGUGAGAAUGAUUAUGCAGCCAAGUGGUGAGGGCACUCUUCUGCAAUGUGGGGCACCCAAGUUCAAAUCACUUCUCCAUAUCAGUAUUAGGAGGGAACUGAAUGUCUCUCCCCCACAUCCCAGGAGAGUGCCCUAACUACUAGGUUAAUGCUUCUAAGGGAGGUGGCACCAUCACCCCUACUUCCUCCUUUUAAAGGUAUCUGGAAACAAUGUUUCCUUCAACCCAAAACAAACUUUGAAAAACUUUGGUGAAUUGAAAAAUUUGAACAGACUCAAAUUUAAUUUGUUUUUUGGAACUGCCGGUGACCUGAUAAAUAAUUAUUCGCCCAGCUCUACUGAUAAGGGCCAUGUAAGUACCUACAUAGAAGUGACCAGAGCUCAGGAUGUAAUUUAUUAAAUGACUUGGGAUCCUUUAAAAUGAAGCGUUCUACGUGCAUGUAAAGAAUUAUUACUCAUUUUUAUCAGUAUAUUAGAGCAGAUUAAAAAUGCUUUCUGGCUUUGAUGGAGGUUCCUGGAAUCUUUGCAAGAUCAUAAAAUAUUCAAAGAAAGCAAAGUUGAGAGCGUCUUGUAUCAUACACUGAUUUAAGCAUCAUUUCCUUCUGUUCAUUUGCUCCUAUACACUGUGGAAUAUUUGAUUUAUUAGAAAUGAAUUGUGAGGUAAACGGAACUCAGAAUUGGAUAAUAAUUUUUAUAGCAUAUCUGACUGGAAAAUUGAAAUCUUAUCAGAGAAAGCAGCAUGAUGGGGCAAGAGCAGCUAUUUUGCGUAUAUGUGUUAUUUUACCGAGAACAUUAAGACCAACAAAAAAAAAGGUCCAUACUGCAGAUGUAAUUUACAAUACAAUAUUUUUCUUGUUUCCUGUUGAGGGUUUCUCUAAAAUUACCCAAUCUUGUUUUGUCUUUGUUUUACAAUAAAGUGUGAGUGAAUUUGAAUAACUUGAUGUUAUGUACAUGUACAACUAAUA